UUCACGGGGAAGACCCCCAUUUGAAUACUGUUUUCCGGCGUGGAAUUUUCUCUCCGGUGGCAUCCAGCAACGUGCCAGGUUUUGGGUAUAAAUAGUGCAGACACUUUGGAAAGACACACAUACAGUAUCUUUCGGACUGAAAGAGACAACCAAACAGUAUCCUUUCCACCGUCAUCAUGAAAUUCGUUAAUCUCAGCCUCGUCGUGAUGGCCGCCAUCUUGGCACUCGCUUGCUUUGCAACAGCCAUGCCCGACCCUUAUGCUCUGGCGGAUCCUGAGGCAGAUCCCCACCGUGGCUACGGAGGCUUCGGAGGAGGCUUUGGAGGCUUCGGAGGAGGCUUCAGACCGAGGCGGUUUCGGAGGCUUCGGAGGUGGCUUCAGACCAGGCGGAUUUGGAGGAGGAUUCCACAGACCUUACUACGGAUAGAUCUACUAUGUCCAGGAACAACUUUCGGUCUCUUCUGCUACGAUUCUGGGCUCCACUGGAACGAGUGACGUCGCUUCUUCGGGAAUUUAAUUUCCGAUGAAAUAAACGGUUUAAUCUUC